rnacentral:rRNA from 1 species
GAUGAACGCUGGCUGCGUGCCUAAUACAUGCAAGUCGAGCGAACGGACGAGAAGCUUGCUUCUCUGAUGUUAGCGGCGGACGGGUGAGUAACACGUGGAUAACCUACCUAUAAGACUGGGAUAACUUCGGGAAACCGGAGCUAAUACCGGAUAAUAUUUUGAACCGCAUGGUUCAAAAGUGAAAGACGGUCUUGCUGUCACUUAUAGAUGGAUCCGCGCUGCAUUAGCUAGUUGGUAAGGUAACGGCUUACCAAGGCAACGAUGCAUAGCCGACCUGAGAGGGUGAUCGGCCACACUGGAACUGAGACACGGUCCAGACUCCUACGGGAGGCAGCAGUAGGGAAUCUUCCGCAAUGGGCGAAAGCCUGACGGAGCAACGCCGCGUGAGUGAUGAAGGUCUUCGGAUCGUGAAACUCUGUUAUUAGGGAAGAACAUAUGUGUAAGUAACUGUGCACAUCUUGACGGUACCUAAUCAGAAAGCCACGGCUAACUACGUGCCAGCAGCCGCGGUAAUACGUAGGUGGCAAGCGUUAUCCGGAAUUAUUGGGCGUAAAGCGCGCGUAGGCGGUUUGUUAAGUCUGAUGUGAAAGCCCACGGCUCAACCGUGGAGGGUCAUUGGAAACUGGAAAACUUGAGUGCAGAAGAGGAAAGUGGAAUUCCAUGUGUAGCGGUGAAAUGCGCAGAGAUAUGGAGGAACACCAGUGGCGAAGGCGACUUUCUGGUCUGUAACUGACGCUGAUGUGCGAAAGCGUGGGGAUCAAACAGGAUUAGAUACCCUGGUAGUCCACGCCGUAAACGAUGAGUGCUAAGUGUUAGGGGGUUCCCCCCCCUUAUGGUUGCGCUUACCCCUUUAGCCCUCCCCCCGGGGAAGACCAACGCCAGGGUGAAACUCCAAAGGAUUGGACGGGACCCCCCCCAACCGGGGAACCUGGGGGUUAAUUUCAAACCACCCCAAAAACCCUUCCCAAUCCUGGCCUUCUUUGAACACUCCUGAAAAUAAACUUUCCCCCUCCGGGGAACAAAUGGCCGGGGGGGGCUGGGUGGCCUCCACUCCUGGCCUGGAAAGGUGGGGUAAAUCCCCCCACCAACGCCACCCCUUAGCUUAAUUGCCCUCCUUUAGUUGGGCACUCCUAGUUGAACGGCCGUGAACAACCCGAAGAAAGGGGGGAAGAACUCCAAUCCUCCUGCCCCUUAUGAAUUGGGCCACCCCCCUGCUUCCAUGGACCAUUCCAAAGGCAACCAAACCCGCAAGGCCAACCAAUCCCAUUAAUUUGGUCCUCAUUCCGAAUGGAAUCCGGCACUUCACCUACUGAAGCCGGGAACCCCUGGUAACCCUAAAUCACCCUGGCACCGGGAAAUUCCCUCCCCGGUUC